UGAUCCUGGAUCAGAUUAAACGCUGGCGGCAGGCCUAACACAUGCAAGUCGAGCGGAUGACGGGAGCUUGCUCCUUGAUUCAGCGGCGGACGGGUGAGUAAUGCCUAGGAAUCUGCCUGGUAGUGGGGGACAACGUUUCGAAAGGAACGCUAAUACCGCAUACGUCCUACGGGAGAAAGCAGGGGACCUUCGGGCCUUGCGCUAUCAGAUGAGCCUAGGUCGGAUUAGCUAGUUGGUGAGGUAAUGGCUCACCAAGGCGACGAUCCGUAACUGGUCUGAGAGGAUGAUCAGUCACACUGGAACUGAGACACGGUCCAGACUCCUACGGGAGGCAGCAGUGGGGAAUAUUGGACAAUGGGCGAAAGCCUGAUCCAGCCAUGCCGCGUGUGUGAAGAAGGUCUUCGGAUUGUAAAGCACUUUAAGUUGGGAGGAAGGGCAGUAAGUUAAUACCUUGCUGUUUUGACGUUACCGACAGAAUAAGCACCGGCUAACUCUGUGCCAGCAGCCGCGGUAAUACAGAGGGUGCAAGCGUUAAUCGGAAUUACUGGGCGUAAAGCGCGCGUAGGUGGUUCGUUAAGUUGGAUGUGAAAGCCCCGGGCUCAACCUGGGAACUGCAUCCAAAACUGGCGAGCUAGAGUACGGUAGAGGGUGGUGGAAUUUCCUGUGUAGCGGUGAAAUGCGUAGAUAUAGGAAGGAACACCAGUGGCGAAGGCGACCACCUGGACUGAUACUGACACUGAGGUGCGAAAGCGUGGGGAGCAAACAGGAUUAGAUACCCUGGUAGUCCACGCCGUAAACGAUGUCAACUAGCCGUUGGAAUCCUUGAGAUUUUAGUGGCGCAGCUAACGCAUUAAGUUGACCGCCUGGGGAGUACGGCCGCAAGGUUAAACUCAAUGAAUUGACGGGG
rnacentral:rRNA from 1 species